GCCUGAUUUCUGGGACUACACACCAAUCUCUCUGGCUGACCAUGCAAUAGGUACACAGAGCAUUGUGGUGAAAAUCCAGCAAACAAAAGAAGAACUAUGUGGAAGCUGACAUUGUCUUGUUGUCAGCCAUAUUGCUACCCUUAGCCAUUUUAUGGAACAAAAUGCCUGGUGUCUAAACUGAUUUCGUUAUACUCUGUGAAAGACUUAUUCUAUUUUUCUGAACUAUGCUGAAUUAUUGAACUAUUUUUAUUUUUGUGGAGUUAGCCGGAGAGAGAGGAAGUGUUAGCUGACCCAGGGAUGGAUGUACUAUGUGUGUCUUUGAUAUAUGUUGAGUGUGCCAAGGAUGGAUUCCCAUGUUUUGAGGAACUGCAUGAGGAUAUGACUGGUUUUGACUGGACCUUUGGAAUAGGGAAAUGGUUAAAAGAUAUAGGACGCAAGGUCCUGGUUGUGAUUAUUGUCAGAAUUUCAAGCUAGAUUAUAAUUUAUCUCAUGAAUUAAUAUGUAAGACGUGUUUCCCAAUUCCUCCCGAUACUCGAGCUAUGUAUUCACAGGUGCGGGUAUUAUAAGUCACAAGUGGUGUCAACUGUGAAGGGAUGACAUGUCUAACACGAUCGCGGCCCCCACUCAGGUUUUCCCCAGAUGUGCUUUUUCCUCAAAUAUGAGUUUUUGCCACUGGGUUUUUGCUUGGCCCCAGAUCACCGGGUGGACUGGUAAUCCUAGACCGUGGACGAAGGAGGAAACAACUGUUGGGAAUAAUACACUUUGCUCAUAUUUACCCAGGGCUUAUGAUACAGAUGACCAGCUGGUUAGUCUGUUUAAAAUUGGUUAACAUGUCAGCUAUUUGCAAUAAUAUAUUUGCUAUAAGCCCAAGUUCCAUUUUGUCUUAAACAUCCAUUUUCUAUAUAUCUGUUUCUUGUAGACCACAUGAUUGUUUAGGAAUGCCAUAAUGUGGAAGUUUCUCUGUCCUGGGAGAAUGUUAACCGAUAAUAUGAGCAAGUUUUUGCUCAAAAAGGGGAAUGAAAGGAUAUGAAGUAGUUAGCUUUUCUUGUUCAUAUGUAUUUUAUGCUUAGAUAAGGUUUAUAAUCAUUAGUGCUGACUGUAAGGAAAAGAAAUAGUUAAACUCUUUUUGCUUUAUAUGCUUUAAAAUAAUGUUUGAAAUAAUUAUGCUGACUUUGGCAGAUGUAUUUUGUACCAAGGUCUUCCUUUUGGAGGAUGUGCGACCUUGCUAGAUCUCAGGAUGUUCCUGUUCUGUCUUUAUUCAAAUGCUUAUCUUCUACUGCUACAGAAGUAUAUACUAUUAACUGUAAGGAAGCGAUAAAACUCGCUGCUUGCGUGACAAACUGUGUAUAAAUGCUAGCCCUGAAAAUAUACUGAUUGAGACAUUUUGUUAAGCACA